rnacentral:rRNA from 1 species
UGGGGAAUCUUGCGCAAUGGGCGAAAGCCUGACGCAGCGACGCCGCGUGGGGGAUGAAGGCCUUUCAGGUUGUAAACCCCUUUCGGCAGGGACGAAGCGAUCUCGUGACGGUACCUGCAGAAGAAGCCUCGGCUAACUACGUGCCAGCAGCCGCGGUAACACGUAGGAGGCGAGCGUUGUCCGGAAUCAUUGGGCGUAAAGAGCGCGCAGGCGGCUUGGCAAGUCGGGUGUGAAAUCCCGGGGCUCAACCCCGGGACUGCAUUCGAUACUGCAAGGCUAGAGGCAGGUAGGGGAGAUCGGAAUUCCUGGUGUAGCGGUGAAAUGCGGAGAUAUCAGGAGGAACACCGGUGGCGAAGGCGGAUCUCUGGGCCUUACCUGACGCUCAGGCGCGAAAGCUAGGGGAGCGAACAGG